UUUUUGCUUCGAAUCUCUUUAUUCUUUGAUCCAUUAACCUUGAUAUUGUGUUGGCUGAAGUCCUCUCUAUAGAGGCAUCAUUAUUGAGUGCUUAAUUGUUGAAAUCGAGCAAGUUCAGUUGAACAUCACCAAACUUCCAUCUCCGAUUUCUCUCUUAAUAGGAAUCUAGAGUGGAAGUGAGUGAUAUAGGAGUGAUGUACAUCACUUCAC
rnacentral:lncRNA from 1 species